UGCAAGUCGAGCGGUAACAGAUCCAGCUUGCUGGAUGCUGACGAGCGGCGGACGGGUGAGUAAUGCAUAGGAAUCUGCCCGGUAGUGGGGGAUAACCUGGGGAAACCCAGGCUAAUACCGCAUACGUCCUACGGGAGAAAGGGGGCUUCGGCUCCCGCUAUCGGAUGAGCCUAUGUCGGAUUAGCUAGUUGGUGAGGUAACGGCUCACCAAGGCCACGAUCCGUAGCUGGUCUGAGAGGAUGAUCAGCCACAUCGGGACUGAGACACGGCCCGAACUCCUACGGGAGGCAGCAGUGGGGAAUAUUGGACAAUGGGGGGAACCCUGAUCCAGCCAUGCCGCGUGUGUGAAGAAGGCCCUCGGGUUGUAAAGCACUUUCAGCGAGGAAGAACGCCUAGCGGUUAAUACCCGCUAGGAAAGACAUCACUCGCAGAAGAAGCACCGGCUAACUCCGUGCCAGCAGCCGCGGUAAUACGGAGGGUGCAAGCGUUAAUCGGAAUUACUGGGCGUAAAGCGCGCGUAGGUGGCUUGAUAAGCCGGUUGUGAAAGCCCCGGGCUCAACCUGGGAACGGCAUCCGGAACUGUCAAGCUAGAGUGCAGGAGAGGAAGGUAGAAUUCCCGGUGUAGCGGUGAAAUGCGUAGAGAUCGGGAGGAAUACCAGUGGCGAAGGCGGCCUUCUGGACUGACACUGACACUGAGGUGCGAAAGCGUGGGUAGCAAACAGGAUUAGAUACCCUGGUAGUCCACGCCGUAACGAUGUCGACCAGCCGUUGGGUGCCUAGCGCACUUUGUGGCGAAGUUAACGCGAUAAGUCGACCGCCUGGGGAGUACGGCCGCAAGGUUAAAACUCAAAUGAAUUGACGGGGGCCCGCACAAGCGGUGGAGCAUGUGGUUUAAUUCGAUGCAACGCGAAGAACCUUACCUACUCUUGACAUCCUGCGAAUUUGGUAGAGAUACCUUAGUGCCUUCGGGAACGCAGAGACAGGUGCUGCAUGGCUGUCGU
rnacentral:rRNA from 1 species